CGUGGGUAACCUGCCCAUCAGAGGGGGAUAACAUUCGGAAACGGAUGCUAAAACCGCAUAGGUCUUCGAACCGCAUGGUUUGAAGAGGAAAAGAGGCGCAAGCUUCUGCUGAUGGAUGGACCCGCGGUGCAUUAGCUAGUUGGUGAGAUAACGGCUCACCAAGGCCGUGAUGCAUAGCCGACCUGAGAGGGUGAUCGGCCACAUUGGGACUGAGACACGGCCCAA
rnacentral:rRNA from 1 species